UAUCCGCCCGGGAACUACGAGCAACAGCUUAAAACCCAAAGGACUUGGCGGUGCUUUAGACCCACCUAGAGGAGCCUGUUCUAGAACCGAUAAUCCCCGUUGAACCUCACCUUUCCUUGCCUAAUCCGCCUAUAUACCGCCGUCGUCAGCUUACUCUGUGAGGAGUGCGAAGUAAGCAUAAUCGGUACAACCAAAAACGCCAGGUCGAGGUGUAGCGUAUGGAAAGGGAAGAAAUGGGCUACAUUCAUUAGUUAUAAUGAACACGGAUGAUAUCCUGAAACAAAUAUCUGAAGGAGGAUUUAGCAGUAAGAAGGGAGCAGAGUGCUCUUCUGAAGCCGGCUCUGAAGCGCGUACACACCGCCCGUCACUCUCCCCGAGCUAAAAACUCUUUAUUACUAAUAAACCAGAACUGUAAAGGGGAGGCAAGUCGUAACAUGGUAAGCGUACCGGAAGGUGCGCUUGGAAAAACCUCAGAGCAUAGCUAAAUAACGUAUAGCACCUCCCUUACACUGAGAAGACAUCCGUGCAACCCGGAUUGCCCUGAAGCCUAAUAGCUAGCCCAACCCCCUAAAAACAACAAACCACUAUUCAAUAACCCCACACACACCAACCAACACAAAACAAACCAUUUUUCCUUCCUAGUAUGGGAGACAGAAAAGAGACCACGGCGCAAUAUAAAAGUACCGCAAGGGAAAGCUGAAAGAGAAAUG
rnacentral:rRNA from 1 species